UGGAGAGAAGGAAGCAGAGGACAGAUUGUGGCUGUGUUUGUUUGCAGGGCCCAGGAGCUUUUUUCCUGUUGGAAUUGGGGAGCUUCUGCAGUCAUUUACCACAUGCCAGCUUUGUGACUCAAUUAAGUAUCUUAUACAAAAGUGACUGGCUCCACUCCCCAACACAGGACUCAACAGAUGUUGACUUCUCAUCCCCGAGUUCUUUCGGGCCAAAAAGCAAAUGGAUUUCCACCUGACAAAUCCUCGGGAUCCAAGAAGCAGAAACAGUAUCAGCGGAUUCGGAAGGAGAAGCCUCAACAACACAACUUCACCCACCGCCUCCUGGCUGCAGCUCUGAAGAGCCACAGCGGGAACAUAUCUUGCAUGGACUUUAGCAGCAAUGGCAAAUACCUGGCCACCUGUGCAGAUGAUCGCACCAUCCGCAUCUGGAGCACCAAGGACUUCCUGCAGCGAGAGCACCGCAGCAUGAGAGCCAACGUGGAGCUGGAUCACGCCACCCUGGUGCGCUUCAGCCCUGACUGCAGGUGGGACAGGACGGAGCCUCAGGUUUGCCUGCAGAGGCCCAGUCCCAGGCUUUGGCCUU
rnacentral:sRNA from 1 species